rnacentral:rRNA from 1 species
AGUGAACGCUGGCGGUAGGCCUAACACAUGCAAGUCGAACGGCAGCACAGUAAGAGCUUGCUCUUACGGGUGGCGAGUGGCGGACGGGUGAGGAAUACAUCGGAAUCUACUUUUUCGUGGGGGAUAACGUAGGGAAACUUACGCUAAUACCGCAUACGACCUACGGGUGAAAGCAUGGGAUCUUCGGACCUUGCGCGAUUGAAUGAGCCGAUGUCGGAUUAGCUAGUUGGCGGGGUAAAGGCCCACCAAGGCGACGAUCCGUAGCUGGUCUGAGAGGAUGAUCAGCCACACGUGAACUGGGACACGGUCCAGACUCCUACGGGAGGCAGCAGUGGGGAAUAUUGGACAAUGGGCGCAAGCCUGAUCCAGCCAUACCGCGUGGGUGAAGAAGGACUUCGGGUUGUAAAGCCCUUUUGUUGGGAAAGAAAAGCAGCAGGUUAAUACCCCGCUGUUCUGACGGUACCCAAAGAAUAAGCACCGGCUAACUUCGUG